UACGAAGGGUGCAAGCGUUAAUCGGAAUUACUGGGCGUAAGCGUGCGUAGGCGGUUUCUUAAGUCUGCUGUGAAAGCCCUGGGCUCAACCUGGGAAUGGCGGUGGAUACUGAGAAGCUGGAGUACGGUAGAGGAAGGUGGAAUUCCCGGUGUAGCGGUGAAAUGCGUAGAGAUCGGGAGGAACAUCAGUGGCGAAGGCGGCUCACUGGACCGGUUCUGACGCUGAUGCGCGAAAGCGUGGGGAGCAAACGGG
rnacentral:rRNA from 1 species